rnacentral:rRNA from 1 species
CCCGCGGACAUGUUGAAACAAAUCGUCGGGGGCACGGCGUCUAACGCGGCACGGUGCCCUCGACCGCCGGCCGAGCCCGCACCUUACGGCCUGCUCCAGGAGCGGCAACGGGGGUGCGGGGCAAGGCUUGGCACAAGAAUGAACCCCGGCGCGGAUCGCGCCAAGGAACGGUAACAUAGCGUGCGCUGCCUUGCCGCCGGAUGCCCGGCGAGCGAGGUGGCGACCUGUCGUAUCUGAACGACUCUCGGCAACGGAUAUCUCGGCUCUCGCAUCGAUGAAGAACGUAGCGAAAUGCGAUACUUGGUGUGAAUUGCAGAAUCCCGUGAACCAUCGAGUCUUUGAACGCAAGUUGCGCCCGAAGCCUCUAGGCUGAGGGCACGUCUGCCUGGGCGUCACGCAUAGCGUCGCCCGCGACCAAGCCACCGCGUCUCUGCAUGCUAGGUUGGGGCGGAGAGUGGCCUUCCUUGCGCCGUUGUGCGGUUGGCCUAAAAUCGGAGCUCGGCGACGGCACCACGACUUCCGGUGGUCGACAAGGCGAAGGCCAAGGUUGCAUCGGGUCGCGUUCGGCACGUCGCCGGUGAAGUUAGCACGACCCCGCCUCGUCUUCUUUUCGGCACCAAGGCACCGAC